AGAGCGGGAGCCCGGAGAUGGGCACUGAGACAAGGGCCCAGGCCCUACGGGGCGCAGCAGUCGCGAAAACUCCGCAAUGCGCGAAAGCGUGACGGGGCUACCCCGAGUGCCGUCCGCUGAGGAUGGCUUUUCCCAGGUGUAAUGAGCCGGGGGAAUAAGGAGAGGGCAAGUCUGGUGUCAGCCGCCGCGGUAAUACCAGCUCUCCGAGUGGUAGGGACGAUUAUUGGGCUUAAAGCGUCCGUAGCCGGCUUAGCAAGUCUCCUGUUAAAUUCAGCGACCUAAUCGUUGAGCCGCGGGAGAUACUACUAGGCUAGGAGGCGGGAGAGGCCGACGGUAUUCUCGGGGUAGGGGUGAAAUCCUAUAAUCCCGGGAGGACCACCAGUGGCGAAGGCUGUCGGCUAGAACGCGCCCGACGGUG
rnacentral:rRNA from 1 species